rnacentral:rRNA from 1 species
GACAGAGGUGCCGAGCGUUAGGCGGAAUCACUGGGCUUAAAGCGUGUGUAGGCGGAUGGGUAAGUACCUUGUGAAAUCCCACGGCUCAACCGUGGAACUGCUCGGUAUACUGCUCGUCUUGAGCCAACUAGGGGCGACCGGAACAAACGGUGGAGCGGUGAAAUGCGUAGAUAUCGUUUGGAACGCCGAUGGUGAAAACAGGUCGCUGGGGUUGUGCUGACGCUGAGGCGCGAAAGCCAGGGGAGCGAACGGG